CCCUUAGAUGUUCUGAACCGCACGCGUGUUACACUGAUGCAUUCAACGAGCUUUACCUUGGCCGAGAGGCCUAGGAAAUCUUUUUAGCAUGCAUCGUGAUAGGGAUUGAUUAUUGCAAUUAUUAAUCAUGAACGAGGAAUUCCUAGUAAACGCAUUUCAUCAAAAUGCAUUGAUUACGUCCCUGCCCUUUGCACACACCGCCCGUCGCACCUACCGAUUGAGUGGUCCGGUGAAGUCUCGAGAUUGUGGCAAUCUCCUUUAUUGGAGUUUGACUGCGAGAACUUGCCUAAACCUUAUCACUUAGAGGAAGGUGAAGUCGUAACA
rnacentral:rRNA from 1 species